UAGCCCUGGCUCCUUCUAACCUUCCCGCCCCUCAGUGCCCCAGAGAGGCUGGUUUGCGGACAAUUAUUCAUCAGCCGGAAGAAAAGGAGGGUCUCGCUCUGUCGCCCAGGCUGGAGUGCAGUGGUGUGAUCUUGUCUCACUGCAACCUCCGCCUCCCGCGUUCAAGCGAUUUUCGUGCCUCAGCCUCCCGAGGAGCUGGAUCUACAGCAUAUUCACCAUGAAGACAUGAGGAUGAAGACCUUUAUGAUGCUCCACUUCCACUUAAUGAAUAGUAAAUAUAUUUUCUCUUCUUUAUGAUUUU